rnacentral:rRNA from 1 species
ACCUCAACUCAGGCAAGAGUACCCGCUGAACUUAAGCAUAUCAGUAAGCGGAGGAAAAGAAAACAACAGUGAUUCCCUCAGUAACUGCGAGUGAAGUGGGAAGAGCCCAGCGUUGAAUCGCUCAUAUCUGUGAGUCCUAAAGCAGAUUGCGAGUAAUCUCAUGUCUCCUAGUAACAUAGGAGGCGUGAGAAUGUGUUGAAUCGCGAGCGAAUUGUAACGUACGGACUCACUGCAUCGAGUGUGUGCGUGUUGUCAAAGUUUUCCUGGAAAGAAGCGCCAUAGAGGGUGAUGGCCCCGUGUGUGGCAACAUGAGUGCUGUGUGAGCACACGCUUGCCUGGGCUAUAGUGCUCUAGCCGAAAGGUUGGUGCACUAUAGUCAUUCUCAGGUGUGGCAGUGAGUUUUCAAUGGUGUGAGGACAUGCAGAUGUCCCAUCAUUGGUGAUUCCAUGAGUCGGGUUGUUUGGGAUUGCAGCCCAAAGAGGGUGGUAGACUCCACCCAAGGCUAAAUACUUGCACAAAACCGAUAGCGAACAAGUACCGUGAGGGAAAGUUGAAAAGCAUUCCGAAAGGAAGGUCAAACAGGACGUGAAACCGUUAAAGGGGAAGCGGAUGGAUGGGUCGAACCAUCAUUGGCAUGGCACAGUGUCUCUACUCCUCGUGGGUAGAGGCACUAACAAUUAAGCAUGUAUGUGUUGUAUCAGCCUCCGCGUCUGGGACAGCACUGUGUGGUGAUGAUAAGAGACACUGCCUUGAAUCUACGCUUGCAGCAAUGUGAGUGGUGCGCAACCUCCGCAUCCCCAUGCAGUGUCAAAUGUGCGUGUAAGCGUACAGCUACCAGGCGUAAGCUAGCUAGUAGGAGGAGCCGAAACAGUCGUUGUGAGUACGGCCAGGACAGGCUGGGCAAUUGUCUGUGUGGCAUCCACUGCACUUAGCCACUCUCACCAGUGGUGUUAGUGUGUGGGCCAUGCCAUCGGAUAGUUGUUACCUGUAGCGCAACUCAGUUGCGUAUGCAAUGCUUAUGGCUUGCCAGAUUGCCUCUCAGGUGUGCCCUGUGCGUACCUAUGUGUUGUGUUGAAGUGAGCACGAGAGGCCGAGCAGUGACCGCAUUUGUGUGACCUGGUAUUGGUACAAUAUCAUCAUCAUUAUCAAGUUUCGUUCAUGAUGACUGAGAAUGUUGCGCCGUUGAGGCGAUGCUGUGUGCUCCAUCAGCAAUGGAGUGUGUUGUGCGUAAUGUGAGCCCUGUCCCCUGGAAGCACUCACGGCGCUGGCCAGUGCCCUCCAGCACUACCGUCUGCGUCUCACGAUGUAGACGCGUGUUGUGGCAUUGACUCGCCGUGAGCUGUGCGUACUAUGUAUGUACUAGUGGCGAUACCUCAUUCGUGCGGGGUGUGUCGUACCAGUGGCUGGCUUCUCACCAAGUCAGACCUGCCGUGUCAUCGUGCAUAUGCUCUCGGGUGUGUGUGGUGGCUAUCCCCGGCAACUGGUACCGGUGCACUGCGAAUGUGGGUGAGACCUCCGGCCAGUGUCCGAAUCUCAUCACUGGCUUCUCAGCUGUGGGAACGAUCUGUCAAAGGAUUGACCUGCCGUUUGUCACUCUUCCAGCGAUUCUUGAGAGCCAUAUACGCUGGGCCACAUGUUGGCUCGGUGUGCGAUCAUCAUCGUGUGUUGCAGCAGUCACCGUCUUUGGCGGUGGCGCAAAUGAUUAAAAUAACCAGGACAUGGGAUACGCGUGACUAAACAAAACACAGCUAAUUUUCGGCGAGACACCAAUCCAUCCGACCCGUCUUGAAACACGGACCAAGGAGCCUAACAUAUACGCAAGUCAAAGGGUGACUGAAACCCAAGAUUGUGCGUAACAUACGCACCGCACGGUCAUGAUCGACCGUGUGUACAUCAUCAAUUUGAUUAUUGUGAGUGACGAGGCGUAAUGAAAGUGACCACCAGUUGUGGUGAUGAGAUGGGAUCCGACUGGGAUGGUCGUGGUGGCCUAACAAGCUGCUGCUACUGAGAUUCGGCAGAUCUGGGUGGUAGAAAACUGCGCUGGUUCCCUCCGGUGUGGGGUAUGUGGUGUGUCAAAGCAUCACAAUCACCGUGCCGGUGCACUGGCCACGCCCGUAUCGUCACCACCACCAUGUGUUGAGUGGUGAAGAAACAACCACCAUGAGAGUGGCAAAGGUACGAAGCGUGCACGGUGGGUAAUAGCACCGUCACCCAGCGGCCAUCCAGCACCGGCGCACCAUCAGCCGGCUUGCAUGUUGGUGCGAGUUGAGCGAGAGCGUAUAUGAUAGAACCCGAAAGAUGGUGAACUAUUCCUGGGUAGGGCGAAGCCGGAGGAAACUCCGGUGGAGGCUCGCAGCGAUUCUGACGUGCAAAUCGAUCGUCAAACCUGGGUAUAGGGGCGAAAGACUAAUCGAACCAUCUAGUAGCUGGUUCCUUCCGAAAUAUCCCUCAGGAUCGCUGAGACCUGACCUAAAACACUCAUCAUGUGCGUGUGUGUGUGCGUCUGUCAAAGCACCACCCGUGAGAGUACGGUAGUUUCAUCGGGUAGAGCUAAUGAUUAGAGUCAUUUGGGAGCUACUGCUCCUGGAACUAUUCUCAAACUGCCAACCGGUGACUAUCACCAAUGAUUUCUUUGAUGCUUCGCGUCAGUGACUCAGUGUUCCCAUGCGCAUCGUAAGAUGUGCCUGGGCGCUGUGGUGGUACAGGCACGUUGUGUGCAGCGUGUCUGGCUGGCGCGAGGUGGCUUGAACUGGCCAGUGAGACAAUCGUCAAGUCUCCCUGUGGCACAGGCAGGUUCGCCCGUGUGUCAGCUCUGCCUCCGCCAGUAUGACGGUUCGCCGAAGUACUGUGUGUGAUGGUGGGGCUGGGGCACGGUGCUAGUCUGUGUUGGUGUCACUGUGGAACUUUGACGGUCAGUCAGCAGUGUGUGCGUGAGUGCAGGCUGCCGGUGGAAGAAACACAAGUUGACUCACGUUGGCUGGCUUGCCAGUCAACUCGCCGGUGGCCCCAGUCAGGAGGUGUGUUGAAAGCUUGCGAGGUUACUCUACUACAAUUGUGCGUGUCAUGCGUGCAUCAUCGUUGAAUGGUCCUCACAGCUGGGACUGAACAUUGUCUGCGCUCAUUGGCCCCGUUCCAAGUCACGCGUACUGAUGGGUACGAGCGUGUGAGACCCUUAACCGGGCUCUAUUUGUUGUAAGAAUGAAUCAUUGGUCCACCGACCAGGAACUGUGGGCAGUGGUAAAACACUGUUACACACAACUAGUCGGUACUGCAACGCGAGAGCGUAAUGCAGCUAAAAUGAAUACCAGGGUCUCAAGUGGGCCGUUUCUGGUAAGCAGAACUGGCGAUGCGGGAUGAACCGAGAGUUGAGUUAAGGUGCCUAAACUAGUGCUCACGGAAACCACGAAGAUUGUACAUCGGUAGAGAUAGCAAGGCUGUGGGCAUGGAAGUCGUCACCAGCUAAGAAACGUGUCAUAACGUACUUGUUGAACACCGGUGUGCGUCGAAGAUGGAUGGCGCUAAGCACUAUACCGAUACUCAACCAUCGAUGUACGAAAUGAAUGAAGGAUCGAUGGGUAGGAAGGCGCGACGGUUUUUGCAGUCUGGCUGGCUGUCUGUGGCCCUGGCUCAUGUGUGUCGCUCAGUUCCAUGUGAACGCGACAAGCCAUCGGUGUCACAGCGGUCUGAGUAUUUACCAGAUUGGCAUGCACACACUCGUGUGUGCUUGUAAAGUGCCGCUGCAAUUUUUGUGGAUAUGCUGAGAAGGAUUUGAGACGUGAGUCUAUCCGGAGCAGCCGUCGGUGCAGAUCUUGGUGGUAGUAGCAACUAUUCGAAUGAGAACUUUGAAGGCCGAGGUGGAGACGGGUUCCACGUGAACAGCAUUUGGACGUGGGUUAGUCGGUCCUAAGCAGUCGCCUAACAGCAUGUUUCAGGCAAAGGGAGCGGGACCGUUCGCAGGUUCAGCUCCAAGGCUGCGAAAGGGAAUCAGGUUAAUAUUCCUGAACCAAGUGGCGGUUGGUGUGCCUCACCGUGUGUCCGGUGCCGGGCGUGAUGUCGCGAAAGCACAUCUGCUCGCACCUCAUACGGUAGCACACACACAUACACGGAGAUGCUCUUGGGGUACGUGAUAGCGAGAGCUGUCAUGGGUCGUUAUGUGCGCCCACUGGCGUUCACUCCACAGAGCUAGGCGGUAACGCAAGCAAACUCGGAGACACCCUUCAUGGCUCUGGAAAGAGUUAUCUUUUCUUGUUAACAGGCCAAGUGAUACGCCCCGGAAAAGAGUCAGUCUGAGAGGGGGCCGUGGGCCUGGAAGAGCAUCGCAGUUUCAGCGGUGUCCGGUGUGCCAUGGUAUCGAGGGUCCGUGAAAAUCCGAGGGCGCGAGCCACGUGUGUCAAACACAUGCGUGAGUGUAAUUUCGCACUUGUCCGUACCGAAUCCGCAUCAGGUCUCCAAGGUGAACAGCCUCUGGCGUGAAACAAUGUAGGUAAGGGAAGUCGGCAAAAUCGAUCCGUAACUUCGGGACAAGGAUUGGCUCUAAGGGUUGAGUCAUCCGGGCCGCGCGUGAAUUGCGUCCUGAAAUAUGUUCGUGUUCCAUGUUGCCGGUGUGUUCGAUGACUCUGUGGUGGUGGUGUGUUGUGAAAAGCACACCAUCAUAUAUCAAGCAGAUCUUGAUCAUUAGUCAACUGUUCGUUGCCUCGUGACUCUGUGUACGUCACAGGGUCAGUCCUGUGAGUCCAUGAGAAUGGGCUCAUUGAUGGGCAGCGAGGAUAUUGACGUCUUUUGCCACCAGCGACGUACGCGGUUGAGACCAGGCGUGUGUUGAGUGUGCCUGCUAUGUGCCGGCGUAUUUAUCGCCUGGAAUCCCCGGUGGUGGCGUGUGGGUGUUCAUCUACCCACACAGUCCACUGCCGAUUCGCCCUAACCGGGUGUUUGGGUGUGGUCAGUGUGCCAGAGUACUGUGUAUUAUCACCAUCACUGGUUACUCUCAGUGUGUGGGAUCGGUGUGACGUCCAUGAUGAUGCAUGGUGGUGCGUGGUUCUGCCAGCCCGCCCUCUCUCAUGGGCGUCAUCAAACGCACCAUCUCACAGUUUUACACGGUGCCCUGGUAGGGCGCCUCCUGGCACUGCUGCACGUGCUCACAAGGCCGUGUGGUGCUGGCCAUGCUCGGCGGAUGGCGAGUGAACAACCAACUUAGAACUGUCACUAACUCGGGGAAUCCGACUGUUUAAUUAAAACAAAGCAUUGCGAUGGCUGGAAACGGUGUUGAUGCAAUGUGAUUUCUGCCCAGUGCUCUGAAUGUUAAAGUGCGGAAACGCAACCAAGCUCGGGUAAACGGCCGGAGUAACUAUGACUCUGUGAAGGUAGCCAAAUGCCUCGUCAUCUAAUUAGUGACGCGCACGAAUGGAUUAAUGAGAUUCCCACUGUCCCUACCUACCAUUCAGCGAAACCACAGUCAAGGGAACGGGCUUGACUGAGACAGCGGGGAAAGAAGACCCUGUUGAGCUUGACUCUAGUUUGACUUUGUGAGAAGACACUGGAGGUGUAGAAUAGGUGGGAGGCAUACGCUUCGGCAGUGUGAUGCUGCCAGCAGCAAUGCUAGCAGUCUCACACUGCUCUGUGUGUCGAUCGUGAAAUACCACCACUCUGGUCGUUUUUUUACUGACUCGGUGAUGCAGGAAGGAUCACCUCCACAUAUCCGGUACAUGCCACGCAUUCUCGGAUGGUGCGGUGCUGAUGUGGGUUCGUCCCACCAUCCUCAUGCGCACCUACUCCUUAGAAUGCGCGCAGUGUGUGCCGCUGUGGGGUGCUGGUUCGUUGCUUUGCUUUUAAAGCAGAUUGCUUCACACACCAUUAUGUGUGGUGUGGGAGCAGUUGUGCUGACCUGUGAGGCUGGCUCUACGUGGCCGCUGCAAUAGCGUACACGCGUCACCCUCCUAGACAGCGCAGCAGCAGCCGUGUUGUUGGUGGUACCUGGCUUGUGUGUGGUGAUGUGAGCUGGUGGUGAUGCGGGCAACCGUGUUGUCACUGGCUCACACUCAUCCUCAGGGGUCAUUGCCAUCGCAGUGCGGUAUGUGACCCGACGACUGCGCUGCUGCUAUAACAGUGCGCGAGCGAGUGUCAUUUGUGUCUGUUGUGAUGAUUUGCCGAGGACAGAGUCAGAUGGGGAGUUUGACUGGGGCGGUACAUCCUUUAUAACACAACGAGGAUGUCCUAAGGCGAGCUCACCGUGGACAGUAACCACGGGUAGAACAUAAGGGUAAAAGCUCGCUUGAUUCACAUUCUCAGUAUGAAUGCGAACCGCGAAAGCGUGGCCUAACGAUCCUUUAAAAUAACACACCUGAGAGUUUCAGGUUAGAGGUGUCAGAAAAGUUACCACAGGGAUAACUGGCUUGUGGCAGCCAAGCGCUAUAGCGACGUUGCCGUUUGAUCCUUCGAUGUCGGCUCUUCCUAUCAUUGGAUUGCAGAAGGUCCAAAGUGUUGGAUUGUUCACCCACCAACAGGGAACGUGAGCUGGGUUUAGACCGUCGCGAGACAGGUUAGUUUUACCCUACUGUCUCUCUGUGUGAUGAGAUCUCUCUACUAACAGUAUAUCAAUGCAGAGUGCACUGCGAUAGUAAUUUCGGUUAGUACGGAAGGAACCCUGAAAUCGGAUGAUCGGUGCAGCGCUUGGCUGAUGAGCCAGUGGCGCAACGCUGUCAUCCGUAGGAUAAUGACUGAAAUCCUCUAAGUCA